rnacentral:rRNA from 1 species
CCUACGGGGGGCAGCAGUAGGGAAUCUUUCACAAUGGGCGAAAGCCUGAUGGAGCAACGCCGCGUGCAGGAUGAAGGCCUUCGGGUUGUAAACUGCUUGUAUAAGCGAGAAAUAUGAUGGUAACUUAUGAAUAAGGAUCGGCUAACUACGUGCCAGCAGCCGCGGUCAUACGUAGGAUCCGAGCAUUAUCCGGAGUGACUGGGUGUAAAGAGUUGCGUAGGUGGCAUAAUAAGUAGCUAGUGAAAUCUGGUGGCUCAACCAUUCAGACUAUUAGCUAAACUGUUAAGCUCGAGACCGUUAGGGGUAACUGGAAUUUCUAGUGUAGGAGUGAAAUCCGUAGAUAUUAGAAGGAACACCAAUAGCGUAGGCAGGUUGCUGGGACGGUUCUGACACUAAGGCACGAAAGCGUAGGGAGCAAACGGGAUUAGAUACCCCUGUAGUC